GAACUCUCAAGCUUUGCUUGGUGUUGGGCGUUUGUCCUUCUAGGACUCGCCUCAAAAUAAUUGGCAGCCAGUGUAUUAGUCUUGGAGCGCAGCACAAUUUGCGAAUCCAGCUAGUAAAUUGGCAACCAUCAAGCCUUAUUUCAAC
rnacentral:misc_RNA from 1 species